rnacentral:rRNA from 1 species
GAUGAACGCUGGCGGCGUGCCUAAUACAUGCAAGUCGAGCGAACGGACGAGAAGCUUGCUUCUCUGAUGUUAGCGGCGGACGGGUGAGUAACACGUGGAUAACCUACCUAUAAGACUGGGAUAACUUCGGGAAACCGGCGCUAAUACCGGAUAAUAUUUUGAACCGCUUGGUUCAAAAGUGAAAGACGGUCUUGCUGUCACUUAUAGAUGGAUCCGCGCUGCAUUAGCUAGUUGGUAAGGUAACGGCUUACCAAGGCAACGAUGCAUAGCCGACCUGAGAGGGUGACCGACCACACGGGAACGGAGCCACGGUCCAGACUCCUACGGGAGGCAGCAGUAGGGAAUCUUCCGCAAUGGGCGAAAGCCUGACGGAGCAACGCCGCGUGAGUGAUGAAGGUCUUCGGAUCGUAAAACUCUGUUAUUAGGGAAGAACAUAUGUGUAAGUAACUGUGCACAUCUUGACGGUACCUAAUCAGAAAGCCACGGCUAACUACGUG